UCAAAUUCAUGGAGCAAAACAGAGUUAUGCUAAGGACAUUGGAAUUAAUAUUUUGUUUCCUGUCUUAGGUGUUUUGUUUCUUUUUGGCGGGGCUGGGCCUACAGGACUUUACCUUCAAUUGCACAAGUUUCACCCUUAUAAAUAUCAUUGACCACUCUUCAUCUUUUCUUCUAAAACAGCUCAGUUAAUCUGACUUCCCACUGUUAGAUCUUCUAGUAAUACCAUUUUAAAGGUUUUCAGCAGAAAAAUAUGCCAAUGUUCUGGAAGAAGUGCUAAAUUUCUAUGUUCAGUCUUUUCUGUGGCUGCAAAUGGAGUUUCAACAAGCAAAACCAAGAAGUUUACUUUAAAGUAAUGUGUGUGUGCUGCAAAACUGUUGAGGAGGAGAGAUUUGAGCUUAAAAAGUUGUUACUGUACAUCUUCAGUUGGUAUUUCCUUGAAGAAGUUUCAUAUGGUUUUAAAUUAUUUAUCCAAGAGGGUAUGUGAUAAACAGUUGAGGCUUUCCAUCAUGAUGUGUAAGAUGUAUUGGACAUAUACUCAUCGUCGCAAAAAGGAAUUCUUACUUUGAACGCAAGCUGCCAGAUGGAAUAUCUGAAUGCCUGUGUGUGUGUACACAAAGUGGGGAUUGGAUUUUCCUGGCUCUAUGCAUACAGUGUGUGCUCACCGACAUGCUAUGAGAAGCCCAAACCCGUGAGAGGCCAUGUGACGAUGCCCCGGACAACAGACCCAGCUGAACCCCGAUUUCAAGUCAUCUCAGUUGGGUGCAGACAGGACAGAAGACACCUUCAGAUGACCCCAGCCUGCAGCACUUCAAGUCUGCUCAGCUUGGGCUCCAGACAGGAGGUAUGGCAGCAAGCCCAUCCCCCUGUGUGC